GAUGAACGCUAGCGGCGGGCUUAAUGCAUGCAAGUCAAGGGGUAGCAAUACACCGGCGUACGGGUGCGUAACGCGUAUGGAACCUGCCCUUAUCUGGGGGAUAACUCGGGGAAACUCGAGCUAAUACCGCCUAAGAUAGUAGAGAGGCAUCUCUUAGCUAUUCAAGAUUUAUCGGAUAAGGAUGCCAUGCGUAAGAUUAGAUAGUUGGCGAGGUAACGGCUCACCAAGUCUACGAUCUUUAGGGGCUCUGAGAGGAGAAUCCCCCACGCUGGCACUGAGAUACGGGCCAGACUCCUACGGGAGGCAGCAUUAGGGAAUAUUGGGCAAUGGGCGGAAGCCUGACCCAGCCACGCCGCGUGCAGGAAGACGGCCCUCUGGGUUGUAAACUGCUUUUAACUGGGAAGAAAGCAGCUCAUGCGUGAGAAUUUGACGGUACCAGUUGAAUAAGCCACGGCUAACUACGUGCCAGCCGCCGCGGUAAGAC
rnacentral:rRNA from 1 species